rnacentral:ncRNA from 1 species
ACAAGUCGCGGGCGCCUCCUUAGAGCGUAAUUCCCACCGAGCGGUGGGUAGAAUCCUUUGCAGACGACUUAAAUACGCGACGGGGUAUUGCAAGUGGCAGAGUGGCCUUACUGCCACGAUCCACUGAGACUCAGCCCUUUGUUGCUUCGAUUCGU